rnacentral:rRNA from 1 species
CACAGAGUUAGCCGGUGCUUGCUAAGGAGAUACCGUCACCAUGCACGAUAUUAGCCUGCACUUAUUCGUCUCUCCCCACAGAGCUUUACAACCCGAAGGCCUUCAUCACUCACGCGGCGUCGCUGCGUCAGGCUUUCGCCCAUUGCGCAAGAUUCCCCA